UGGGGAAUCUUGCGCAAUGGGCGAAAGCCUGACGCAGCAACGCCGCGUGAGCGAAGACGGCCUUCGGGUUGUAAAGCUCUGUCAGGAGGGACGAAGCCACUCAGGUGAAUAGCCGAGAGGGUGACGGUACCUCCAGAGGAAGCCCCGGCUAACUACGUGCCAGCAGCCGCGGUAAUACGUAGGGGGCGAGCGUUGUCCGGAAUCAUUGGGCGUAAAGCGCGUGUAGGCGGCCGACCAAGUCCGAUGUGAAAGCUCGGGGCUCAACCCCGAGUCUGCAUUGGAAACUGAUCGGCUAGAGUCCGGAAGAGGAGACUGGAAUUCCUGGUGUAGCGGUGAAAUGCGCAGAUAUCAGGAAGAACACCGGUGGCGAAGGCGGGUCUCUGGGACGGUACUGACGCUGAGACGCGAAAGCGUGGGGAGCAAACAGGAUUAGAUACCCUGGUAGUCCACGCCGUAAACGAUGGGCACUAGGUGUGGGAGGUGUCGACUCCUUCCGUGCCGUAGCUAACGCAUUAAGUGCCCCGCCUGGGGAGUACGGCCGCAAGGCUA
rnacentral:rRNA from 1 species